AUUGAACGCUGGCGGCAGGCCUAACACAUGCAAGUCGAGCGGGGUUUUCGGACCUAGCGGCGGACGGGUGAGUAAUGCGUAGGAAGCUACCCGAUAGAGGGGGAUACCAGUUGGAAACGACUGUUAAUACCGCAUAAUGUCUACGGACCAAAGUGUGGGACCUUCGGGCCACAUGCUAUCGGAUGCGCCUACGUGGGAUUAGCUAGUUGGUGGGGUAAUGGCUCACCAAGGCGACGAUCCCUAGCUGGUUUGAGAGGAUGAGCAGCCACACUUGGACGGUGACACGGUCCAGACUCCUCUGGGGAGCAGCAUUGGGGAUUAUGGGACAAUGGGCGAAAGCCUGAUCCAGCCAUGCCGCGUGUGUGAAGAAGGCCUUGGGGUUGUAAAGCACUUUCAGUAGGGAGGAAGGGUGUUGUGUUAAUAGCACAGCAUUCUGACGUUACCUACAGAAGAAGCACCGGCUAACUCUGUGCCAGCCGCCGCCGUAACAC
rnacentral:rRNA from 1 species